rnacentral:rRNA from 1 species
UACGUAGGGGGCAAGCGUUGUCCGGAAUCAUUGGGCGUAAAGCGCGUGUAGGCGGCUUAGUAAGUCUGCUCUGAAAGCCCGGGGCUCAACCCUCGGAUGCCGGUGGAUACUGUCGGGCUUGAGUACGGAAGAGGCGAGUGGAAUUCCUGGUGUAGCGGUGAAAUGCGCAGAUAUCAGGAGGAACACCAAUUGCGAAGGCAGCUCGCUGGGACGUUACUGACGCUGAGACGCGAAAGCGUGGGGAGCAAACAGG